CAAAUUUAGAGCAGCAACAGAUAAUUACAUUAGGCCUCUCCUAACUAAGGGAGUUCCAUCUCUUUUCUCUGAUCUUUCGUCUUUGUAUAAUCAGCCUGGGAAGGCAGACAUUUUGGAACAACUUAUUCU